rnacentral:rRNA from 1 species
CAAUAGCGUAUAUUAAAGUUGUUGCAGUUAAAAAGCUCGUAGUUGGAUUUCUGGGAGGGUGCCAAUGUCCGUCGUCGUACGUGUUGCAGCGGCGCCCUUCCAUCCUUCUGUUAACGACUUUGGGCAUUCACUUGCCGGAGUCGGGCUCAGAUAUUUUUACCUUGAGAAAAUUAGAGUGUUUCAGGCGGCUAGGCCGGAAUACAUUAGCAUGGAAUAAUGGGAAUAGGACUUACGGGUUCUCUUUGUUGGUUUUGAGGGACUGCAGUAAUGAUUAAUAGGGGAUAGUUGGGGGGCAUUAGUAUUUAAUUGUCAGAGGUGGAAUUCUCGGAUUUGUUAAAGACUAACUUAUGCGAAAGCAUUUGCCAAGGAUGUUUUCAUUAAUCAAGAACGAAAGUUAGGGGAUCAAAGACGAUUA